rnacentral:lncRNA from 1 species
UGAUGUGAAAUGAGCUUAAAGAGAGAUGUGAGUUAAGGAGGAGCUUGACGAGCGACGUGAGCUUGAAGAGCGACGUGAGCUUGAAGAGCGAUGUGAGCCAGAGGAGCUUGACGAGUGAUGUCAGCUAAUUACGAGGAUCUUGACGGGCAAUGUGGAGUGAGAUGAAGCUUGGAGGGCGAUGUCAAGCUUGAAGGAAGAUGCAAAUCAUGAUGCCAAGCUUAACGGGCGAUGCGAAUCAUGAUACCAUGCUUGAUGGGCGAUGCAAAGUGUGAUUCCAAGCUCAAGGGGCGAUACAAACAAGAUGCCAAGCUUAAGGGGCGAUGCGAAGCAAGAUGUCUUCAUUGAAAGGCGAUGUGAAGUAAAGAAAAGGAAAGAAGUGGACCCCAUGGGCCAAGAAGAGUGCUUGGUGGGCGAUGCAAAGCAAGGAGAGAGUGAUUGGAGGGCGAUACUGAAGAGAGAGGAGAAAGGAGGUGGGUCCCAUGAGUAAUGAAGCCUUUCUAUUGUUCAUUUCUUUUCUCUGUUGAUCGUUUAAUAUACUUUCAAAACUGUUUUGUUUGUGUUACGCAAGUUUUUCCGCAAAGAUUUUUUGAAUGUUUUUUGGCGGAAGAUUAUCUCGUAGAUUUUGUUACGAAAGCUUUUCCGCGGAAAUAUUCUGAAUUUCAUUUUACAGAAGAUUGUUUCGUAAAGACUCGUUUUACGAAAAAAAUUCCGCAAAAACUUCUUGAAAGCCGUUUUAUGAAAGAUUGU